GUUAACCUGUAUCAGAAGAAAUGAAGUUGUUUUGAAUCAUUUCGGGAAUAGUUGACAUUAAUUUAUAGGUGGCAAACAUGGCUGGCCAAAACCCGACCACAGUUACUCCAAAUUCAUUUCCAACUUCAAUAGCCGAAGAAGCAAGUAAGUCGACCACCAUACAAACAACUCCAGUACCACCACUGCUUUCUUUAGAAUUAUGCUCACUCAAAACUUGUCUAAGACAAACUGGCAUGGUGGUUUCUAUGGCAGCCUCAAUAGUGAAGAAGUCACGUGGCAUGUUAUCGUCGAGGCCAUCUGACAUGGAAACAAAGAUAAUUCCAUCGGAAGACGAAACUUGCGAUGAAAUAUGACAAUGGAUGUAACUAGGAGUGAGAAAGAUAGGAAGAAAACCACGAC
rnacentral:lncRNA from 1 species